rnacentral:tRNA from 1 species
GUCCUCGUAGCUCAGUUGGAUAGAGCAACCGCCUCCUAAGCGGUAGGUCGGAGGUUCAACUCCUCUCGUGGACG